rnacentral:rRNA from 1 species
GAUGAACGCUGGCGGCGCGCCUAACACAUGCAAGUCGAACGAUUAAAGCACCUUCGGGUGUGUAUAAAGUGGCGAACGGCUGAGUAACACGUGGGCAACCUGCCCCUUUCAUUGGGAUAGCCACGGGAAACCGUGGAUAAUACCGAAUACUUCGAGACUUCCGCAUGGAAGACUCGAGAAAGCUCCGGCGGAGAGGGAUGGGCCCGCGGCCUGUUAGCUUGUUGGUGGGGUAACGGCCUACCAAGGCAAUGAUGGGUAGCUGGGUUGAGAGACCGACCAGCCAGAUUGGGACUGAGACACGGCCCAGACUCCUACGGGAGGCAGCAGUGGGGAAUCUUGCACAAUGGGCGAAAGCCUGAUGCAGCGACGCCGCGUGCGGGAUGAAGGCCUUCGGGUUGUAAACCGCUUUCAGCAGGGACGAGGCGAAAGUGACGGUACCUGCAGAAGAAGCCCCGGCGAACUACGU